rnacentral:rRNA from 1 species
GACGAACGCUGGCGGCGUGCUUAACACAUGCAAGUCGAACGGAAAGGCCCUGCUUUUGUGGGGUGCUCGAGUGGCGAACGGGUGAGUAACACGUGAGUAACCUGCCCUUGACUUUGGGAUAACUUCAGGAAACUGGGGCUAAUACCGGAUAGGAGCUCCUGCUGCAUGGUGGGGGUUGGAAAGUUUCGGCGGUUGGGGAUGGACUCGCGGCUUAUCAGCUUGUUGGGGGGGUAGUGGCUUACCAAGGCUUUGACGGGUAGCCGGCCUGAGAGGGUGACCGGCCACAUUGGGACUGAGAUACGGCCCAGACUCCUACGGGAGGCAGCAGUGGGGAAUACUGCACAAUGGGCGGAAGCCUGAUGCAGCAACGCCGCGUGCGGGAUGACGGCCUUCGGGUUGUAAACCGCUUUCGCCUGUGACGAAGCGUGAGUGACGGUAAUGGGUAAAGAAGCACCGGCUAACUACGUG